AGCCAACGAGGUCAGGAAAGACAGAAAGGGAAACGCGAUGGGCCCUGGUCAUCCGGCCACAGGUGACUCCUAGAAAACCCGACAGCCUGCUUGCAUCUGAUGAAAUCGGCCAGUCAUCCAGCCAGCCAUGUCUUACACUCCGGGGAUUGGUGGGGACCCUGCCCAGCUGGCGCAACGCAUCUCCUCUAACAUCCAAAAGAUCACACAGUGCUCCGCGGAAAUACAAAGGACUCUGAAUCAACUGGGAACACCUCAGGAUACACCGGAGUUGAGGCAACAGCUG
rnacentral:lncRNA from 1 species